GUAUUCCCCACAUGCCGUUGGACUGCAGCUCCCAUGAUAUCUCACCAUUGGCUAUGCUUACUCGAACUGAUGACACUUGUUGCAGAAAACUGAAGUAGAAAAUUCAUACGGAUUGGUGCAUAUUUACAUAUGGGUUCAGCCUUUUCACUGAUAGAGCCAACAAAGCGUCAGAAUAAAAAGAUCAGUAAAAUUCAAGACCUUACCAAGGAGGAGGCAAAAAUAUUGGAAGCAGCAAAGCAGCAGACGCUAGAUAUUAUGCUGGAUGCCCUGAAAAAGAAGGACAAAGUAUUGAUGAAAGUGCCUCAGACAGUCUUCCUUAAAGGAGAAGAGAAAGAGUCCUUUUGGAUGCAGCGUCAUGCCAUUCUAACGGAAGACACAGUUCAAAAGCUUAUUGCAGAACUCAAGGAAGUAACGUUUAAGAAGAACAUUAGAGAGCCAUUCACCUAUGCAUACAUAGAACGGACCAAUGAGAAAAAAACCAUUUAUCUAUGUGAUAUGUUCUGGAAAGCUCCAGAAUACCUUGAGAAAGACUCCCAGCCAGGUACACUCAUCCAUGAAUUGUCUCAUUUCCUGGGUACCACAGACAUCACUUAUGAAGAGAGCACCCUUUAUGCUGCAUGCAAAGGUAGCCUGGUAAAAGGCAGCCCAUUAAAUCCUUUUCCUCCUAAAGAAGACUACUGGGAGAGGGCCCUUGGGAAUGCCUUCCUAAAUGCCAACAGCAUUGCGCAUGAAUUUGAGCUCACCCUCAACCACAAAGGAAGUUAUGAGGAUGGCAAGUACUCCUGCUGUAGGGAAACCAAACGGCACUCCGUGUGUGAGUCUUCUGUGCCUGACCACUUCCACACUUGCACCUUGGACAAAACGUGGGAAACAGAGAUACUUCUGAAAGAACUACAUCAAAGAUCAGAGGCUAUAGCACACAAACUAAAGGAGUUUCACAAAAAUAUGGAGGAAAUGUGUGAAUCUCUUAGAAAAGCCAAGGCACAACCUACAAGGGGAGGAUUAACAAGAAUUCUCCUGAUGACAUACAUCCUGAUUCUCUCAUCAUUUCAGAUUUCUGCACUGUUGGAAACAGAAGGUAAACUGACUAUGAAGAAAGUCACCAGUGUUUCUACCAUCAUUUUGGCUGCAAGGGAAUUCACCAAAAAUAAUGAACUGUAUCCCAUCCUUGACGAAUGUCUACGUUUCUUGGAUAUCCAGAGACUUCUAAAGUUUCUAGAUGGAACUGAACUCUUUGCAGAUUGCUGGCAAGAAUAUAAAUUCUUCAAACUUCUGAUUAAUAUCCUAGACAUAAUAAUACUAGAGAAAGAACACAAGUCCUAA
rnacentral:lncRNA from 1 species